UGCCCUGGAAAUACUGAUUUGUAAGACCCCUCUCACUGCAAUGAAGGCUUAGGUAUUUGCCACUGACUGGUUUAUGGUUUUGUAUUCCUCACAUAUCCAUGCAUGGUGCUCAAAGAGCAAAUUUGUUGCUCCUUGGUUUAGAGUCAUUUCUUCACAGGCCAAAGGCCAGACUUGAUGACCUCUGGGCAAGAGUCCCUGGGCUCUGUUGAGCUGUGCUAGGACAGAAAGAGUCACAAGAGGCACCAGUCUUGAAUCCUUCUUUUCUCUUUUGUUGGCAGCCUGAGCCAUCAACUGCUAAAAAGUGGCGCCUUGACAACCUGGUGACCCAGAGAAAGCAAGGAUUGAUGCCAAAAGAGGGUCUCAGGGAAAUUGUCCGAGGGAAUGGACGUGAGGAGGGUGUGAGGCAGGAGCCGGGCAUCAGCAGCACUUCCUGCCAGCACCACUCCAAGGCAAGGGAGCCUCCUCCCAAGAGCUGUGGCCAAGUGACCAAGGAUACUCACAAGACCUCUGGCCAAACCACCAAGCAUUUUCACAAGACCUCUGGCCAAGUGACUCAGGCUCCUCUGGAAUUUCACGUUAUGAGCACACUCAGCUCUCUGAAGCCUCUUGUGCACACCAAGGAGGCCUUGCCCAGGAAGACUGUGGGUAUCAAAAGGCCCAGCAAGCCCCUGGUGCAUGACAAAUGGAAAAAAGUCCUGAAGCUGGAGAGUGAGCCUGGUCCUUUGGAGGUCAGAGACCAGUCUUGCAAGCACCAGCCCCGAGAAAAGAAAACAGAGGAGCUAAACUCCCUCACUAAAAAAGCCCUGCAGCCGGCACUUCACAAGCCCUCUGAGGAGAGAAAGGACAAGGGCUCCCAGCAGGCCAAAGCCAAAGGCUUUUUGGAUGCCAGGCUCCUGAGACAUGCUCAGGAAUGUGAUGCCCUCAUCCCCAGUAGCCACAGGCCUGGGGAAUGGCACAGGGAGAAAGUGCCCUUGCCUCCUGGGGAGAAGAAGUUGUUCUUGCCUUUGAGGAAGGCAGACUUGAAGAGGAAAGCCAUGAGGAGUCCUGAGGAGUCCCCUGGAAAGAAGAAGAGAGAAGACAAGGGGGAUACUCCCAGGAAGAAAAGGCAAUGAGACAAAACAUUCCCAACAAAAUACUUCCAGAUUUCAGCCCACAAAGGCUCCAAUCAACUGAAAGCAUCAGAAGACUCAUUCUAAAUGGAGAGAGAAAAUGUGUUGCUGCCACCACUGCCGGCCAUGACUGCUGUACAACGUGAACCAAAUUUGACCAUGAGGACCCAAAAGAGACCCAGAGCUGUGACUGACAACCUGGAGCUGCCUGCCGUGGAUAACCCUGCCAGGAAGCAGGAUGGAUUCUUAGCCAAGCACAGGAAAGUGGAGGAAGUCCCUGAGGAGCAAUCCCAGGCCAUCACCAUUGGUAUCCAGGAGGGCUGGUGGGAGUAUUCCUGCAACCCAGGCGUGCUGUGUGAUGCACUGCAGAAACAUCCUCUCAGAUAAGUGACCAUUUCUGACUGUAGGCAACUGCAACUAAAAGGAGUGUGUGUAUAAAAAGGAGUGUGUUUGUAAAAGGAAAUGGACUGCAAUCUGGGCCUUAGGUUGUAUAUAAGCCAGAGGAAAUUGCUGCAUUUAUGGGUUAAAAAAUUAGAAUUUACUUGCUUUUUAUAAAAAAUUUGGCAGUUUAAUGAUGGCUCGGGGUAUGGGGUCUAUGAUAUUUGGGGGUGAGGGAGCAUGUGUCAGUGUUCUGUCUUAGGCCAGGUUGUGCACAGUGCAUUAGCUGCCUUCUAACUGCUUGCUUUUUCCUGAUAAUUUUCCUGCUUCCAGCCCUCACUGCACUCCCAGCUAUUGAGCAAGGAAAUCUGCUGCUGAAUUUCUCUGUGUUUGGGAGAAGUGGAAUGGUGCAAAGCAUUGUGAGCUGCCAGGGAUCUGCAGGGCAUGAGAAGAAUCCUUUUCCAGUGCCUUCUGUGCCACAUGAAGCCAAGACAAGAAGACCUGAAGUUAGGACAAGUUUGCUGCUGAACAAAGCCCAGUGAGGGGACCAAGAGCCGGCCUGACCUCACACAGAGAAUGAUUCAGAACUUUCAGUGACCAAGUGCCCUAACUGGGUCUCCAGGAUGUAAAUAGUUCCAAGUUCUCUAGUCUAUCGAAACCUUACAAACACUUUUGUUUUAUUUACUGUUCAAUGCAAAGCACCUGCUUUUUUUUUUGUUUGUUUGUUUUGUUUUGUUUUAAAUACAGUUGUGUGUUCUUUUGGUUACUUUUGGACAUCCUUGUGGUUUUUGAGGAUAAUGCUUUUCUAUCUUGCAAAAGAAGGGAUGGGCUGUGGUAUCAGCCAUUAAGAUAAAACUGUGGAGAGAAGGAUGGUGUAAUAUUCACUAUAAAAUAACUGGUGGUUAAUGAAAUAAAAUAAAAAACCCCACAGCGUUAUGUGUACUAAAA